rnacentral:rRNA from 1 species
ACUUAAAUUGAAGAGUUUGAUCAUGGCUCAGAUUGAACGCUGGCGGCAGGCCUAACACAUGCAAGUCGAGCGGUAGCACAGAGAGCUUGCUCUCGGGUGACGAGCGGCGGACGGGUGAGUAAUGUCUGGGAAACUGCCUGAUGGAGGGGGAUAACUACUGGAAACGGUAGCUAAUACCGCAUAACGUCGCAAGACCAAAGUGGGGGACCUUCGGGCCUCAUGCCAUCAGAUGUGCCCAGAUGGGAUUAGCUAGUAGGUGGGGUAACGGCUCACCUAGGCGACGAUCCCUAGCUGGUCUGAGAGGAUGACCAGCCACACUGGAACUGAGACACGGUCCAGACUCCUACGGGAGGCAGCAGUGGGGAAUAUUGCACAAUGGGCGCAAGCCUGAUGCAGCCAUGCCGCGUGUGUGAAGAAGGCCUUCGGGUUGUAAAGCACUUUCAGCGGGGAGGAAGGCGAUAAGGUUAAUAACCUUGUCGAUUGACGUUACCCGCAGAAGAAGCACCGGCUAACUCCGUGCCAGCAGCCGCGGUAAUACGGAGGGUGCAAGCGUUAAUCGGAAUUACUGGGCGUAAAGCGCACGCAGGCGGUCUGUCAAGUCGGAUGUGAAAUCCCCGGGCUCAACCUGGGAACUGCAUUCGAAACUGGCAGGCUAGAGUCUUGUAGAGGGGGGUAGAAUUCCAGGUGUAGCGGUGAAAUGCGUAGAGAUCUGGAGGAAUACCGGUGGCGAAGGCGGCCCCCUGGACAAAGACUGACGCUCAGGUGCGAAAGCGUGGGGAGCAAACAGGAUUAGAUACCCUGGUAGUCCACGCCGUAAACGAUGUCGAUUUGGAGGUUGUGCCCUUGAGGCGUGGCUUCCGGAGCUAACGCGUUAAAUCGACCGCCUGGGGAGUACGGCCGCAAGGUUAAAACUCAAAUGAAUUGACGGGGGCCCGCACAAGCGGUGGAGCAUGUGGUUUAAUUCGAUGCAACGCGAAGAACCUUACCUGGUCUUGACAUCCACAGAACUUUCCAGAGAUGGAUUGGUGCCUUCGGGAACUGUGAGACAGGUGCUGCAUGGCUGUCGUCAGCUCGUGUUGUGAAAUGUUGGGUUAAGUCCCGCAACGAGCGCAACCCUUAUCCUUUGUUGCCAGCGGUUCGGCCGGGAACUCAAAGGAGACUGCCAGUGAUAAACUGGAGGAAGGUGGGGAUGA